rnacentral:rRNA from 1 species
CAAUAGCGUAUAUUAAAGUUGUUGCGGUUAAAAAGCUCGUAGUUGGAUUUCUGUCGGAGACGCGCGGUCCGCACUAUGUGCGUGUAUCUGUGUCGGCUCUGGCAUCCUCCUGGGGAACGGUGCUGCGCUUGAUUGCGUGGUCCGGUAUUCAGGACUUUUACUUUGAGGAAAUUAGAGUGUUUACGGCAGGCAAGCGCCUUGAAUAUAUUAGCAUGGAAUAAUAAGAUAGGACCUCGGUUCUAUUUUUUCGGUUUCUAGAGCUGAGGUAAUGAUUAACAGGGAUAGUUGGGGGCAUUCGUAUUUAACUGUCAGAGGUGAAAUUCUUGGAUUUGUUAAAGACGAACUACUGCGAAAGCAUUUGCCAAGGAUGUUUUCAUUGAUCAAGAACGAAAGUUAGGGAUCGAAGACGAUCAGAUACCAU